rnacentral:sRNA from 1 species
UCCUGCCCAAACACACUAAAUCGGUGUUG